GACGAACGCUGGCGGCGUGCUUAACACAUGCAAGUCGAACGGACAGACAGAGAGCUUGCUCUCUUGAAGUUAGUGGCGAACGGGUGAGUAACGCGUAAUCAACCUGCCCUUCAGAGGGGGAUAACAACGGGAAACCGUUGCUAAUACCGCGUACGAUUCAUGAACGGCAUCGUUUAUGAAUGAAAGGUGGCCUCUAUGUAUAAGCUAUCGCUGAAGGAGGGGAUUGCGUCUGAUUAGCUAGUUGGAGGGGUAACGGCCCACCAAGGCAAUGAUCAGUAGCCGGUCUGAGAGGAUGAACGGCCACAUUGGGACUGAGACACGGCCCAAACUCCUACGGGAGGCAGCAGUGGGGAAUCUUCCGCAAUGGACGAAAGUCUGACGGAGCAAUGCCGCGUGAGUGAUGAAGGUCUUCGGAUUGUAAAGCUCUGUUAAUCGGGACGAAAGAGUUCUGCGUGAAUAAUGCAGAAAAGUGGCGGUACCGGAAUAGAAAGCCACGGCUAACUACGUGCCAGCAGCCGCGGUAA
rnacentral:rRNA from 1 species